GGACCCACCCCCUGCUCCAGUCGCUAUCGGAGGCCGCGCGGGUGGCUGAGCAGCGGCCUGGUGCGCUCGCUUAGCGGGCGACGGAAUCAGACGGACGUGGACGCCCCCGGAGUGGAAGCCGAAGCAGGAGUUGUUGUUGCUGAGGGGCUGCCGCAGCCGCCGCGAGCCUCCGGACAGACGCCAGAGCGAGGAGGGCGCUACGCGCUUGGCAAGAUGACCCAGUUCCUGCCGCCCAACCUUCU
rnacentral:lncRNA from 1 species